rnacentral:rRNA from 1 species
UACGAAGGGUGCAAGCGUUACUCGGAAUUACUGGGCGUAAAGCGUGCGUAGGUGGUUUGUUAAGUCUGCUGUGAAAGCCCCGGGCUCAACCUGGGAAUGGCAGUGGAUACUGGCAAGCUAGAGUGCGGUAGAGGGGUGUGGAAUUCCCGGUGUAGCGGUGAAAUGCGUAGAGAUCGGGAGGAACACCAGUGGCGAAGGCGGCACCCUGGACCAGCACUGACACUGAGGCACGAAAGCGUGGGGAGCAACAGG